AACGAACGCUGGCGGCAGGCUUAACACAUGCAAGUCGAGCGCGUAGCAAUACGAGCGGCAGACGGGUGAGCAACGCGUGGGAAUCUACCCAUCUCUACGGAAUAACUCAGGGAAACUUGUGCUAAUACCGUAUACGCCCUUAGGGGGAAAGAUUUAUCGGAGAUGGGUGAGCCCGCGUUGGAUUAGCUAGUUGGUGGGGGAAAGGCCUACCAGGGCGACGAUCCAUAGCUGGUCUGAGAGGGUGAUCAGUCACACUGGGACUGGGACACGGCCAAGCCUCCUACGGGAGUGAGCGGUGGAGAAUAUUGGACAAUCGGCGCAAGCCUGAUCCUGCCAUGCCGCGUGAGUGAUGAAGGCCCUAGGGUUGGAAAGCUCUUUCACCGAUGAAGAUAAUGACGGUAGUCGGAGAAGAAGCCCCGGCUAACUUCGUGCCAGCAGCCGCCGUAAAAC
rnacentral:rRNA from 1 species